rnacentral:rRNA from 1 species
GAUGAACGCUCGCUACAGGCUUAACACAUGCAAGUCGAGGGGAAACGAUGAGAGAGCUUGCUCUCUUAGGCGUCGACCGGCGCACGGGUGAGUAACGCGUAUCCAACCUACCCAUUACAGGGGGAUAACCUUGCGAAAGUAAGACUAAUACCCCAUGGCAUUUUAUGGUGGCAUCAUUAUAGGAUUAAAGAUUUAUUGGUAAUUGAUGGGGAUGCGUCUGAUUAGCUUGUUGGCGGGGUAACGGCCCACCAAGGCAACGAUCAGUAGGGGUUCUGAGAGGAAGGUCCCCCACAUUGGAACUGAGACACGGUCCAAACUCCUACGGGAGGCAGCAGUGAGGAAUAUUGGUCAAUGGGCGAGAGCUUGAACCAGCCAAGUAGCGUGCAGGAUGACGGCCCUAUGGGUUGUAAACUGCUUUUAUAGGGGAAUAAAGUGAGCUACGUGUAGUUUAUUGCAUGUACCCUAUGAAUAAGGACCGGCUAAUUCCGUG